rnacentral:rRNA from 1 species
CUUCGGGAGCUGACGAGUGGCGGACGGGUGAGUAACGCGUAGGAAUCUGCCUUAUAGUGGGGGACAACGUGGGGAAACCCACGCUAAUACCGCAUACGCCCUACGGGGGAAAGGAGGGGGUCUUCGGACCUUUCGCUAUGAGAUGAGCCUGCGUUAGAUUAGCUAGUUGGUAGGGUAAAGGCCUACCAAGGCGACGAUCUAUAGCUGGUCUGAGAGGACGAUCAGCCACACUGGGACUGAGACACGGCCCAGACUCCUACGGGAGGCAGCAGUGGGGAAUAUUGGACAAUGGGCGAAAGCCUGAUCCAGCAAUACCGCGUGUGUGAAGAAGGCCUUAGGGUUGUAAAGCACUUUCAAUUGGGAGGAAAACCUGUCGGUCAAUACCCGGCAGCUUGACAUUACCUUUAGAAGAAGCACCGGCUAACUCCGUGCCAGCAGCCGCGGUAAUACGGAGGGUGCGAGCGUUAAUCGGAAUUACUGGGCGUAAAGCGUGCGUAGGCGGUUCGUUAAGUCAGAUGUGAAAGCCCUGGGCCCAACCUGGGAACUGCAUUUGAAACUGGCGGACUAGAGUUUAGUGGAGGGGAGUGGAAUUUCAGGUGUAGCGGUGAAAUGCGUAGAUAUCUGAAGGAACACCAGUGGCGAAGGCGACUCCCUGGACUAGAACUGACGCUGAGGUACGAAAGCGUGGGUAGCAAACAGGAUUAGAUACCCUGGUAGUCCACGCCGUAAACGAUGUCGACUAGCCGUUGGUCCUAUUUACAGGAUUAGUGGCGCAGCUAACGCAUUAAGUCGACCGCCUGGGGAGUACGGCCGCAAGGUUAAAACUCAAAUGAAUUGACGGGGGGCCCGCACAAGCGGUGGAGCAUGUGGUUUAAUUCGAUGCACGCGAAGAACCUUACCUACCCUUGACAUCCAGAGAAUC